rnacentral:rRNA from 1 species
GACGAACGCUGGCGGCGUGCUUAACACAUGCAAGUCGAGCGGUAAGGCCCUUUCGGGGGUACACGAGCGGCGAACGGGUGAGUAACACGUGGGUGACCUGCCUUUAGCUCUGGGAUAAGCCUGGGAAACUGGGUCUAAUACCGGAUAUGACUCCAUGACGCAUGUUGUGGGGUGGAAAGCCUUGUGCGGCUAGGGAUGGGCCCGCGGCCUAUCAGCUUGUUGGUGGGGUGAUGGCCUACCAAGGCGACGACGGGUAGCCGGCCUGAGAGGGCGACCGGCCACACUGGGACUGAGACACGGCCCAGACUCCUACGGGAGGCAGCAGUGGGGAAUCUUGCGCAAUGGGCGAAAGCCUGACGCAGCGACGCCGCGUGAGGGAUGACGGCCUCGGUUGUAAC